AGUUUGAUUAUGGCUCAGAUUGAACGCUGGCGGGAUGCUUUACAUGCAAGUCGAACGGCAGCACGGACUUCGGUCACGGUGGCGGUGGCGAACGGGUGAGUAAUGUAUCGGAACGUGCCUAGCUGGCGGGGGAUAACUACGCGUGGCUAAUACCGCAUACUUCCCUUCGGGGGAAAGCGGGGGACCUUCGGGCCUCGCACUAUUAGAGCAGCCGAUAUCGGGAUUAGCUAGUUGGUGGGGUAACGGCUCACCAAGGCGACGAUCCGUAGCUGGGUUUGAAGGACAGCCAGCCACACUGGGACUGAACCUGACCCCGACUCUACAGGGAGGCAGCAGUGGGGAAUUUUGGACAAUUGGGAAACCCUGGUCAGCCAUCCCGCAUUAUUGCGAUGAAGGCCUUCGGGUUGUAAAGCACUUUUGGCAGGAAAGAAACGGCACGGGAUAAUACCCCGUGCAACUGACCGGUACCUGCAGAAUAAGCACACCGGCUAACUACGUGCCAACAGCCGCGGUAAUACGUAGGGUGCAAGCGUUAAUCGGAAUUACUGGGCGUAAAGCGUGCGCGAGCGGUUCCGGAAAAGAAAGAUGUGAAAUCCCAGAGCUUAACUUUGGAACUGCAUUUUUAACUACCGAGCUUCAGAGUGUGUCAGAGGGAGGUGGAAUUCCGCGUAUGCAUUGAAAUGCGUAGAUAUGCGGAGGAACACCGAUGGCGAAGGCAGCCUCCUGGGAUAACACUGACAAGUGCACGAAAAGCGUGGGUGAAGCAGGAUUAGAUACCCUGGUAGUCCACGCCCUAAACGAUGUCCAACUAGCUGUUGGGGCCUUCGGGCCUUGGUAGUACAGCUAACGCGUGAAGUUGACCGCCUGGGAAGUACGGUCGCAAGAUUAAAACUCCGAGAAUUGUGGGAUUGCAAGCGGUGGAUGAUGUGGAUUAAUUCGAUGCAACGCGAAAAACCUUUUUCUACCCUUGACAUGUCUGGAAUCCCGAAGAGAUUUGGGAGUGCUCGCAAGAGAACCGGAGUGCACAGGUGCUGCAUGGCUGUCGUCAGCUCGUGUCGUGAGAUGUUGGGUUAAGUCCGCAACGAGCGCAACCCUUGUCAUUAGUUGCACGAAAGGGCACUCUAAUGAGACUGCCGGUGACAAACGGAGGAUGGUGGGGAUGACGUGAGUCACCUCGCUGGCCCUUAUGGGUAGGGCUUCACACGUCAUACAAUGGUCGGGACAGAGGGUCGCCAACCCGCGGGGAGCCAAUCAGAAACCCGAUCUGGUCCGGAUGCAGUCUGCAACUUCGACUGCGUGAAGUCGGAAUCGCUAGUAAUCGCCGGAUCAUGUCGCGGUGAAUACGUUCGGGUCUUGUACACACCGCCCGUCACACCGCUCGGGGUGGGGUUUACCAGAAGUAGUUACGGCUAACCGUAAGGAGGGCGAUUACCACGGUAGGAUUCAUGACUGGGGUGAAGUCGUAACAAAGGUAA
rnacentral:rRNA from 1 species